rnacentral:rRNA from 1 species
UACGUAGGGUGCGAGCGUUGUCCGGAAUUAUUGGGCGUAAAGGGCUCGUAGGCGGUUUGUCGCGUCGGGAGUGAAAUCCACUGGCUUAACUGGUGGCUUGCUUUCGAUACGGGCAGACUGGAGGUAUGCAGGGGAGAACGGAAUUCCUGGUGUAGCAGUGAAAUGCGUAGAUAUCAGGAGGAAUACCGAUGGCGAAGGCAGGUCUCUGGGCUGACGCUGACGCUCAUGCACGAAAGCGUGGGGAGCAAACAGG